GGUUAAGCGACUAAGCGUACACGGUGGAUGCCCUGGCAGUCAGAGGCGAUGAAGGGCGUGCUAAUCUGCGAUAAGCGCCGGUAAGGUGAUAUGAACCGUUAUAACCGGCGAUACCCGAAUGGGGAAACCCAGUGUGAUUCGUCACACUAUCAUUAACUGAAUCCAUAGGUUAAUGAGGCGAACCGGGGGAACUGAAACAUCUAAGUACCCCGAGGAAAAGAAAUCAACCGAGAUUCCCCCAGUAGCGGCGAGCGAACGGGGAGGAGCCCAGAGCCUGAAUCAGCAUGUGUGUUAGUGGAAGCGUCUGGAAAGGCGCGCGAUACAGGGUGACAGCCCCGUACACAAAAGCGUAUGUGCUGUGAGCUCGAUGAGUAGGGCGGGACACGUGGUAUCCUGUCUGAAUAUGGGGGGACCAUCCUCCAAGGCUAAAUACUCCUGACUGACCGAUAGUGAACCAGUACCGUGAGGGAAAGGCGAAAAGAACCCCGGCGAGGGGAGUGAAAAAGAACCUGAAACCGUGUACGUACAAGCAGUGG
rnacentral:rRNA from 1 species